UUAAAUUGAAGAGUUUGAUCAUGGCUCAGAUUGAACGCUGGCGGCAGGCCUAACACAUGCAAGUCGGACGGUAGCACAGAGGAGCUUGCUCCUCGGGUGACGAGUGGCGGAAGGGGGAG
rnacentral:rRNA from 1 species